UGCUGAAUGAUGAUAAAAUACAAUACAUUAAACCAAGCAGAAACUUAAGAACGAAAUUAAAUUUAGAGAACAUUCUUUAAAACUCCUUAAAAGGCAAAUUUUUUAAAAUAUUUUUAUCACAACACACGCUUUAUACACUAUAAAUAAGUCAAAAAAUAUUUCUUAUUAAUUACAUGUAGCAAAAUAAAAAAUGGCUAAAAUCCUCAAGUUUGUGCACAAUAUGAUUUUAUUUCUUUUCCUAUUUUUUAUCAUAAACAAUGUUGAAGUCCAAGGUGUUAUCGGAGGUGAGGUGAAUUGGGACGAUUUACCGACGAUGCUGCCGUCGGAUGCUAGAGCAAUGCUAGAGGAGUGUGCAAAGACUGAGUGUCCCCUAGAUCUUCUUGAUAGGUACUUUUGCGUUAUGACCAAAUGUAAUGCAAAACGACCGUAUGAAUAUGACUAAAUAUUAAAAUGAAUUAAUAAUAUCUGAAUCAAAAGAGUACAUUUAAAUCAUGCAAGGAGGAAAUAAUUACCUAAACAAGCCAAAAAUCUAUUUAAUAUAUGUAAUGCCACCCAAUAAUUGCUUUUUAAAUUUUUUUUUUGUUAUCUUAUAUAUCUUGCAAUCCCGACUUUGUACUCUAAGAUUUUGAUAUUAAAAUAAAAUAUGUAAAAAAAAUGUUAUAAUUAAA